GUGUACUCUUUUCAAACAUAUGCGAUAAAUUGGAAACGAUACAAAGAAGAGUAGCAUGGUCCAUGGCAAGGAUGUCUAAAUCUUUUGUUAAAAAAAAUGUCUAAAU
rfam:Arabis alpina cultivar Pajares chromosome 7, whole genome shotgun sequence.